rnacentral:rRNA from 1 species
CAACGCGAAGAACCUUACCUAAGCUUGACAUCCCAAUGACAUCUCCUUAAUCGGAGAGUUCCCUUCGGGGACAUUGGUGACAGGUGGUGCAUGGUUGUCGUCAGCUCGUGUCGUGAGAUGUUGGGUUAAGUCCCGCAACGAGCGCAACCCUUGUCUUUAGUUGCCAUCAUUAAGUUGGGCACUCUAGAGAGACUGCCAGGGAUAACCUGGAGGAAGGUGGGGAUGACGUCAAAUCAUCAUGCCCCUUAUGCUUAGGGCUACACACGUGCUACAAUGGGUAGUACAGAGGGUUGCCAAGCCGUAAGGUGGAGCUAAUCCCUUAAAGCUACUCUCAGUUCGGAUUGUAGGCUGAAACUCGCCUACAUGAAGCUGGAGUUACUAGUAAUCGCAGAUCAGAAUGCUGCGGUGAAUGCGUUCCCGGGUCUUGUACACACCGCCCGUCACACCACGGGAGUUGGAGACGCCCGAAGCCGAUUAUCUAACCUUUUGGAAGAAGUCGUCGAAGGUGGAAUCAAUAACUGGGGUGAAGUCGUAACAAGGUAGCCGUAUCGGAAGGUGCGGCUGGAUC